rnacentral:rRNA from 1 species
GGCUCAGGAUGAACGCUGGCGGCGUGCCUAAUACAUGCAAGUCGGACGGUUCUCGCAAGAGGAUAGUGGCGAACGGGUGAGUAACGCGUUGGUGACCUGCCCCUUAGAGAGGGAUAACAGAUCGAAAGAUCUGCUAAUACCGCAUAAGAUCGUAGGGAUUAGAAGCCUAUGAUGAAAGCCGAAAGGCGCUGAGGGAGGGACCUGCGUCCCAUCAGCUAGUUGGUGAGGUAACGGCCCACCAAGGCGAUGACGGGUAGGGGACCUGAGAGGGUGACCCCCCACAAUGGAACUGAAACACGGUCCAUACACCUACGGGUGGCAGCAGUAGGGAAUAUUGGGAAUGGGCGCAAGCCUGACCCAGCAACGCCGCGUGAGUGAUGAAGGCCUUCGGGUUGUAAAACUCUUUUCACCGGGAAGAGGAAGGACGGUACCGGUGGAAUAAGUCUCGGCUAACUACGUGCCAGCAGCCGCGGUAACACGUAGGAGACAAGCGUUAUCCGGAUUUACUGGGUGUAAAGCGCGUGCAGGCGGUCUGGUAAGUUGGAUGUGAAAGCUCCUGGCUUAACUGGGAGAGGUCGUUCAAUACUGCUGGACUAGAGGAUGGCAGAGGGGAGUGGAAUUCCGAGUGUAGCGGUAAAAUGCAUAGAUAUUCGGAAGAACACCAGUGGCGAAGGCGGCUCUCUGGGCCAUUUCUGACGCUCAGACGCGAAAGCUAGGGUAGCAAACGGGAUUAGAGACCCCGGUAGUCCUAGCCGUAAACGAUGUGAACUUGGCGUGGGUGGGUUCAAAUCCAUCCGUGCCGCAGCAAACGCGAUAAGUUCACCACCUG